rnacentral:rRNA from 1 species
GGCGUGUACUGCUUGGCUGGGCCUUACUUCUUGGUGAGCCGGCGUGCCCUUUAUUGGUGUGCGUCGGGGAACCAGGACUUUUACCUUGAGAAAAUUAGAGUGUUCAAAGCAGGCCUAUGCCUGAAUACAUUAGCAUGGAAUAAUAGAAUAGGACGUGCGGUUCUAUUUUGUUGGUUUCUAGAGUCGCCGUAAUGAUUAAUAGGGACAGUUGGGGGCAUUGGUAUUGAGUCGCUAGAGGUGAAAUUCUUGGAUUGACUCAAGACCGACUAUUGCGAAAGCAUUUGCCAAGGAUGUUUUCAUUAAUCAAGAACGAAGGUUAGGGGAUCGAAAACGAUCAGAUACCGUUGUAGUCUUAACAGUAAACUAUGCCGACUAGGGAUCGGAUGACCUCAAAAUUGAUGUGUCAUUCGGCACCUUACGAGAAAUCAAAGUCCUUGGGUUCUGGGGGGAGUAUGGUCGCAAGGCUGAAACUUAAAGGAAUUGACGGAAGGGCACCACCAGGUGUGGAGCCUGCGGCUUAAUUUGACUCAACACGGGGAAACUCACCAGGUCCAGACAUAACUAGGAUUGACAGAUUGAUAGCUCUUUCAUGAUUUUAUGGGUGGUGGUGCAUGGCCGUUCUUAGUUGGUGGAGUGAUUUGUCUGGUUAAUUCCGAUAACGAACGAGACCUUAACCUGCUAAAUAGCCAGGCCGGCUUCGGCUGGUCUCUGGCUUCUUAGAGGGACUGUCAG